rfam:Triticum aestivum genome assembly, contig: Triticum_aestivum_CS42_TGACv1_scaffold_671682_T_4BL-0.044982_4BS-0.026243
UUUGUACUCCCUCCGUCCCAAAAUUCUUGCCUUAAAUUUGUCUAAAUACGGAUGUAUCUAGUUACAUUUUAGUGUUAGAUACAUCCGUAUCUAAACAAAUGUAAGACAAGAAUUUUGGGACGGAGGGAAUACUAC